rnacentral:rRNA from 1 species
UACGUAGGGGGCUAGCGUUGUCCGGAAUCAUUGGGCGUAAAGAGCGUGUAGGCGGCCCGGUAAGUCCGCUGUAAAAGUCAAAGGCUCAACCUUUGAAUGUCAGUGGAUACUGCCGGGCUAGAGUCCGGAAGAGGCGAGUGGAACUCCUGGUGUAGCGGUGAAAUGCGCAGAUAUCAGGAAGAACACCAACGGCGAAGGCAGCUCGCUAGGACGGUACUGACGCUGAGACGCGAAAGCGUGGGUAGCAAACAGG